rnacentral:lncRNA from 1 species
UAAGAGGAACGUGAAUGUCAACUUAUGCAGAUGUUGCAAUGCUGCUGCUCCUUCAAAAAAUGUCUUCCUGACCUAGUUCUCUUUGCUUCUUUUCUUUGUUGCUGUGUUGGACCUCUUGGUCCCUCCUAAACACUGGUUCUAUGCUGGGAGCCAGCACCUAUGCAGAGCCAGGGUGUACCAGUGGAUGAGUCAUGGUGCCUCGUGUUUUCUCUGCUUUUCUUUUGCUGGAGCAUGCUGUAGGCCUGGGUUUGCCUCAUGAAGCAUAAGGCAUUACGAAGACUUUUCCUCAUAGUCAGUUUUGUGUGUGCCAUGGUGAGAGUAACGGCUCUACUGAGCUGAAGUAUUGAAAUGUGGUCUUUAAGUACUUGAAAACCAUUUACACUAGGAAAUACCCAAGAGCCAUGAAUUAAUUGCUGUGGACUGAAAAUUAUUCAGGGUGUCAUUCUGUAUGUAAUGUUGCAGGUUUAUAUUACUUUAACUUCUGGGAACAUACUGACUUCACAGCUGCAGCACUACUUAAACCCUUUCAGAUAUUGCCUCUCGUUCUUUAAAAUGUGAGACUAAUCUUGAAGUGCCCUGGGCAGCCUGGUUCAUCAUAUUUCUGUGCAGGUGUGCUUGCAACAGAUGCCCUCUUUAUAGAUGAACACCCCCAUGCUGCCCCUCAUCCUCAUCCCAUCCUGAGAAUUCUGACUCCGUAGCAGUCAUGGGAUGAAUGGCAAGAGAACAGGAGCAGCUGCAUGCAUCCACCUUUUAUGGACAAAAGCAAAAGCAUCCUGCUUUCCAGCCCAGCCCAGAAAGCUGUACUUUGAUUGUGGUCCUGUUGUUCACGGACCAUGCACACCUGGCUGAGGAGAGGGCUCCUGAAGUGCUGGCCCAACUGUGAAACUGGGGGAGAGGGAAGAGGAAAAUUCACUUGGAGCUGGUCUGCAGAUGAGUUUGUCCUAUGAAUAGAAACCAAAAGUUGUCAGUAAAUUCAUGUCAGGUGAAGCAAACAUUUUUCUUUGCCUCAGUAGAUAAUAUUUAUUUUCCUUUAGCCAUAUAAGAACAUAAAACUUUAAUACACCCCUAAACAAAGCACUCAUUUGAAGUCAAAGUUCAUUUAGAGAAUGUUGAAAUUUAACAUGUACCAUUCAAGAAUUAAUUAUCUGAGCUAGAACAAUUAAAU